AAUGUGUACCUAUAAGGAAAGAUAAGAAUAAAGAACAAAAGGAGCCACUAAACGAGGGAAGGGAAAACAAUUGUUAAGUAAAAUUCUUCAUCAUUGUCACCGGCUAUAUUUUAUCGUAAAAUAUGUCUAACCUGUGUUUGUAGAGCGCAACCUUUUGCCAAGAUCGUGGCUGUUUUCAGCCUGUGUUGUAAGCACAUCCAGGUAUCUGGAGAAUGAAAGACCUCAGAUUUUAUAAAUACUCCCUCGUACCAAGAACGAUAGAAGGGGUAAUGAGGUUGAAAAUAAAGAAAUGAAUAGGAUGAUCAUAGAACUUCUUUUGUGGUGUAAUCUGAGGACGGUGACGAUUUUUUUUCCCCGUGUUCAGGGUGAAGGUCAUGAGGAAGUCUAGAGGAGCACUUUUCCCGGAAGAUAAACUCUGCAAAUGGCUGACUCAUCUAUUGUUAGCUUUGGAGCAUCUGCAUUCCAACCGCGUUCAUCAUAGAGACCUCAAGUUAUGUAACAUAUUCAUCAUAAAGGACAACGACAUCAUGUUAGGUAAGAAUGCCCGAACAAUUGCUUGAUUGGGUCGU